GCCCCCACGCCUCUCCACGAUGCGCACCCGGGGGCU
rnacentral:sRNA from 1 species